rnacentral:tRNA from 1 species
GGGGACAUGACUCAGUGGGUAAGAGCAUUUGAUCCUCCUGCAGAGGACCUGGGUUCAAAUCCCAGUGUCCAUG